rnacentral:rRNA from 1 species
CUACCAAGCCAACGAUCAGUAGCCGACCUGAGAGGGUGACCGGCCACAUUGGGACUGAGACACGGCCCAAACUCCUACGGGAGGCAGCAGUGGGGAAUAUUGCACAAUGGGGGAAACCCUGAUGCAGCGACGCCGCGUGAGCGAAGAAGUAUUUCGGUAUGUAAAGCUCUAUCAGCAGGGAAGAAAAUGACGGUACCUGACUAAGAAGCACCGGCUAAAUACGUGCCAGCAGCCGCGGUAAUACGUAUGGUGCAAGCGUUAUCCGGAUUUACUGGGUGUAAAGGGAGCGUAGACGGCUGUGUAAGUCUGAAGUGAAAGCCCGGGGCUCAACCCCGGGACUGCUUUGGAAACUAUGCAGCUAGAGUGUCGGAGAGGUAAGUGGAAUUCCCAGUGUAGCGGUGAAAUGCGUAGAUAUUGGGAGGAACACCAGUGGCGAAGGCGGCUUACUGGACGAUGACUGACGUUGAGGCUCGAAAGCGUGGGGAGCAAACAGGAUUAGAUACCCUGGUAGUCCACGCCGUAAACGAUGACUACUAGGUGUCGGGGAGCAAAGCUCUUCGGUGCCGCAGCAAACGCAAGAAGUAGUCCACCUGGGGAGCACGUUAUA